ACACUACAACAAAAUGAGCUUUUAACAACACAUUUUCUAGAAGGGGCAUGCAUUGUAGAAAGCCCUUUCUACAACAUGCCCGCAUGGCCUAUUGUAGAAGAGUAGUUGUCUAAGCCCAAAUUUCUCGAGUUUCACCUUCAGAUCGAGGAAAAUAACCAGCAUGGCGGAUUAGUCUAAGCUCCCAAAUUCGCACACAUCGAUCCUCAACCAAAAUCCACACGAAACCCUAGUCCUAACUCUAAGCCCAAAUUUUGCGAGUUUCACCUUCAGAUUGAGGAAAAUAACCCAGCUUGCAUUUCUGAGUUUUUGCUUAAAUAUUGAUGCUUGAGGUUCAAGAUUAUCAUCUUUUUUUGGGAUACCUGGGUGUGCUUUUUUUGGGAUACACUAUUUGGUUUACAUGCAGGGCUGGGAUAAGCUUUCAUUUAUGAGUUUUUGCUUAAAUGAUGCUUAAGAUUGAAAUAGGAAUGGCAUAUUGGCUGCUCUUCGAUUUAAACUUUCCCUAUACACUUACUAGGAUUAUCUAGUAAAAGACGUGGACUGCCUUUAAAGCACGACGAACAGGAUUUCGAUCCGCGCUACUACUAAACCAAGUUUGUAGGUCCUGCCAACUUUUGCUGCUCUAUUUUCUCAUGGACCUGAAUUUCAAAUUUCUCAGCUACCACGGUUGCGAUUUGAUCCACGUCUUUUAUUGCACGGACAACAAUACAUAGAAAUUUACAAGGCACUUCCUUCUAGUGGUUGUCCCAACAUCAUCAGACGUAAGUUGAGAGCGAGUUUCAGUCUUAUUAACUACCAGUUUUUUCUGAAAGAUUAAUGGCCUAAGACAAUUAAUGUUAUGUUUAGCUGCUUGGAGUCUUGCCUUGAAUGCUUUGGUGCUUUGGAGGGAAAGUUUUUGCAAUUGAGCGUGAUGGGAAAUGCCUUGGUUGUGUUGGUAUCGAAACUUUUCUAAUCCUUGUACAGAUGGUAACAAUGAAGGAAACUUUGUAAUCUUUAAUGAAUAUAAAAUAAAUUUGGGAUCUAUUUGUUUGUGAUUAGUGGGAAGUAGAUGUAAAUUUUCAUUUUUAUAUGACUUGAACUCUUUUUCAUCUUGUAUCAUAUUGUUUGUAUAAGGCUUGGUGUGGAUAUAUAUACCUUUGGGUGGAUU